rnacentral:rRNA from 1 species
UGGGGAAUAUUGGACAAUGGGCGCAAGCCUGACGGAGCAAUGCCGCGUGUGGGAUGAAGCGUCUCUGACGUGUAAACCACUGUCAGGGGUUAGAAACAAUGAUCAACCCCAAAGGAAGUGGCGACUAACUCUGUGCCAGCAGUCGCGGUAAUACAGAGGCCACAAGCGUUAGUCGGAAUCACUGGGCUUAAAGGGUGCGUAGGCUGGUCCGCAAGCGUCUUGUGAAAGCCCUCGGCUCAACCGAGGAACAGCAGGGCGAACUGCGGAUCUUGGGGCAGGUAGGGGUCGCGAGAACAGUAGGUGGAGCGGUGAAAUGCGUAGAUAUCUACUGGAAUGCCGAUGGUGAAGACGCGCGACUGGGCCUGUCCUGACGCUGAGGCACGAAAGCGUGGGGAGCAAACAGGAUUAGAUACCCACGUAGUCCCUGAGCGGGCUGGCAAGGCGCAU